GAAAUGCGAUAAGUAAUGUGAAUUGCAGAAUUCAGUGAAUCAUCUAAUCUUUGAACGCACCUUGCGCUCCUUGGUAUUCCUUGGAGCAUGCCUGUUUGAGUAUCAUGAAAUCUUCAAAGUAAAUCUUUUGUUAACUCAAUUGGUUUCUACUUUGGUAUUGGAGGUCUUUGCAGCUUCACACCUGCUCCUCUUUGUUCAUUAGCUGGAUCUCAGUGUUAUGCUUGGUUCCACUCGGCGUGAUAAGUUAUCUAUCGCUGAGGACACUGUAAAAGGUGGCCAAGGUAAAUGCAGAUGAACCGCUUCUAAUAGUCCAUUGACUUGGACAAUACUUUUAUGAUCUGAUCUCAAAUCAGGUAGGACUACCCGCUGAACUUAAGC
rnacentral:misc_RNA from 1 species